rnacentral:lncRNA from 1 species
GCAUUAGCAGGGGGAACAGAAAACUGUCUCUCCUUUAGGCUGAGCACUUGGGAAUAGACUUCCUAACAUCAACUUAAAAGCCAAGAAAGAAGGCUUCUGGAGAAAUGGCAGAAUCAAUGACAAUUAGCCAAACCAAUUCCAUGAACAAUUCCGGUAAGUCAUGUCCUCUCCAUUUCUGCAAGUCAGGAUUAGGCUGCUUCAGCUCACACUCCAGUGCUCCAACAAAUAGAGAAAAGAAACAUUCCUCAUGCCUCGUGAACUGCCCUGCUGUAAAAUCCAUAUGUUGAAAACAUCUUAAGGGGGUGGCAUGAUUGAGGUCCAAAAAGUUCAAGAUCAGCAGGUCCUCAUGAGGCUGAGGACAUUAGCCAAAGAUCAAGCAUGUCUUCUUUGAGGGAACCAGAGGAAACUUGAGAAGCUGUUGUCAUGGAGC